CCUACGUGGUGCAGCAGUGGGGAAUAUUGCGCAAUGGGCGAAAGCCUGACGCAGCGACGCCGCGUGAGGGAUGAAGGUCUUCGGAUCGUAAACCUCUGUCAGCAGGGAAGAACGGUCACUGUGUUAAUCAGCAGUGAAUUGACGGUACCUGCAAAGGAAGCACCGGCUAACUCCGUGCCAGCAGCCGCGGUAAUACGGAGGGUGCGAGCGUUAAUCGGAAUUACUGGGCGUAAAGCGCUCGUAGGCGGUAUGUCAAGUCAAGGGUGAAAUCCCCGCGCUCAACGUGGGAACUGCCUUUGAAACUGGCAAACUGGAGUGUGUGAGAGGAUAGUGGAAUUCCAGGUGUAGGAGUGAAAUCCGUAGAUAUCUGGAGGAACAUCAGUGGCGAAGGCGACUAUCUGGCACAUAACUGACGCUGAGGAGCGAAAGCGUGGGUAGCAAACAGGAUUAGAUACCCGGGUAGUC
rnacentral:rRNA from 1 species